rnacentral:rRNA from 1 species
GAUAGUACCUUACUACUUGGAUAACCGUGGUAAUUCUAGAGCUAAUACAUGCUGAAAACCUCAACUUCGGGAGAGGUGUAUUUAUUAGAUAAAAAACCAACGCCCUUCGGGGCUUCUUGGUGAUUCAUGAUAACUUUACGGAUCGCAUGGCCUUGCGCCGGCGACGGUUCAUUCAAAUUUCUGCCCUAUCAACUUUCGAUGGUAAGGUAUUGGCUUACCAUGGUUUCAACGGGUAACGGGGAAUUAGGGUUCGAUUCCGGAGAGGGAGCCUGAGAAACGGCUACCACAUCCAAGGAAGGCAGCAGGCGCGCAAAUUACCCAAUCCCGACACGGGGAGGUAGUGACAAUAAAUACUGAUACAGGGCUCUUUUGGGUCUUGUAAUUGGAAUGAGUACAAUUUAAACCUCUUAACGAGGAACAAUUGGAGGGCAAGUCUGGUGCCAGCAGCCGCGGUAAUUCCAGCUCCAAUAGCGUAUAUUAAAGUUGUUGCAGUUAAAAAGCUCGUAGUUGAAACUUGGGUCUGGCUGGCAGGUCCGCCUCACCGCGUGUACUUGUCCGGCCGGGCCUUCCUUCUGGAGAACCUCAUGCCCUUCACUGGGCGUGUUGGGGACCAGGACUUUUACUUUGAAAAAAUUAGAGUGUUCAAAGCAGGCCUUUGCUCGAAUACGUUAGCAUGGAAUAAUAGAAUAGGACGUGCGGUCCUAUUUUGUUGGUUUCUAGGACCGCCGUAAUGAUUAAUAGGGACAGUCGGGGGCAUCAGUAUUCAAUUGUCAGAGGUGAAAUUCUUGGAUUUAUUGAAGACUAACUACUGCGAAAGCAUUUGCCAAGGAUGUUUUCAUUAAUCAGUGAACGAAAGUUAGGGGAUCGAAGACGAUCAGAUACCGUCGUAGUCUUAACCGUAAACUAUGCCGACUAGGGAUCGGGCGAUGUUCUUUUUCUGACUCGCUC